GGAAGCAGUAGGUAAAAACUACUAUUGAGCAUGCUUAAUUUUUAUUCCUAUCAUAUGAAUCAGAUGUAAGGCUAUCAGUAGUUACUUUUCUACCCAAGUAUUUUCAAAUCUAUUUCUUUCAGAAUAUGGUUUCAAAUUUUGAUAACUCUGUCAUCAAAAACCUUGCUGAGUGAUUUUUAAAGUUCAGUUCUCAUCUCAAAACUUAGUAUAUUCCAACCCAUAAUGCCUUGGAGAAAAACAAUGGAAAUACAGAAUCUAGAUUUGUACAGAAUUCCCCACCUGCUAUUUGUUUCUCUAUUCCAAAAUGGAAUAUGAGGUAUUCAACCUGUCGCUGAUCCCCUGCAUGAUGGUGCCUGCCAUCCUCCCCACGACACCACAUACACUCAGCCAUAGACAAGCCAGAAGACAGAGAAGCUGACGACAGAACUAGACAAUGACUUUGAUGUUGUUUGAUGAGUUCAGACCCUCAGAUCCUGGGGCCAAGGCUGUAAGUGACGGAGAACAACUCACCCAAACGUGUCAGAUCAUCCAUCACUCAUAAGAGUCCAAGUCUUGGGAGAAUUUUCUUUUACCCUUAAGGUUGGGCCCCAUGAAGGCAAUGCCUGUGUCUGUUGUAUCACUACAAUAACUUCUAUCUUAGUAGAAACUAACAAUAGUCCUUCCAUAAAUGAAAUUACAGAAAGAAGAGAGGACUAAACAAUCUCCUUUUGUUGCUAUGGCCCUGUGACAGUGGAACAUGGAGAUGUCGUGUCUGUGUGCUGAAAUAAGGAGACAUCCCUGCUUGUGUUAAAUAAAGUCAGCCAUCAUCACUGAUUUAUGGAACCAC